CGACAUUAUUGUGCCGAUUGAUGACUCUCUGGAAUCUGACUGAGCCCGUGAAGUCGUCUGCUUUAGCUUAGCGAUCUUCCAGCCGCCAUCUUGAAGGCUGUUGCCCAGCUAUGAAAUAUUGAACAAGCGACAAAGAGGUUGAAAUUUGUAGCAGGGAGAAGAUGGAGUCGAGGACGUAUGAUGAAGAGUAUCACAAGGAGGUAGAAGCGUAUGUGAAAGCCGGCUUUGAAGCCCAGUUUGAAGCCCCUGCAAAGUUUAGGAAGGACCAUGAAG